UCUUUGUCUUUACAGGAGGAGGAUUGCCCUAGUCUAGAAUCUCUUCCACCUAAUUCACAACUUGAAUUCUUGAAGUUGAGGUGGUCUAAGCUCAAGUCUCUGCCCCAACAAAUUCAGCACUUUACUUGUUUAAAAGAACUCCAGAUAUCAUUUUUUGAGGGACUAGAGGCUCUUCCUGAGUGGUUGGGAAAUCUUACAUCUCUUGAGUCUCUGUGUAUCUAUUAUUGUGAGAAUCUCAAGUAUCUACCUACACAAAAUGCUAUGAAAAACCUCACAAAAUUAAAGCGCCUCUACAUUCAGGGAUGUCUCCUGCUCAAAGAAAGAUGCAACAAGGAGACUGGCCCAGAAUGGCCCAAGAUUUCUCACAUUCCAGACGUUUCCUGUGUUAAUCAGCAUCAGCUAUGAGAAUGAGAAAUUGAGAAGUAUCCACCUAAAGUGGAAGCUAUGCACACAAAAGAUGAGGACAGCUGGCAUGAGUGGCUGACUUCUAAUAUUCCAAAGGUAGAUUGUCUGCAUUGAAACCAUGAGAGACCUCCUUAAACUAGCACAGUGGGAUAUUCAUGGGGUUCAAGUUCCAGGGGAAACGUGCCUUGAGCGCUUAAAAUUUCAGUUGUGCAUGAUUACUUCCAUCGAUGUUCUAAGUUAAACCAGUUCCUAAAAUCAUUAUUGUCCCAAGGAUUAAGGAAUUGGAGCACCCAAAUUCCUGAUCUCAGGUGGCUGCUGUUUGUUUGGCUCUCGCAAAGGCUGGUAACUUUGCCCUAUAUUGAGAACAAACUCCAUCUGCAUCUUGGAUAAGCCAUUUACUCAAGCAUGCAUGGUUUCUAGGAAAAAGCCUUCUAUUAUCUGCGAGCUAUAUGAAGAACCUCCUGUCAGAUUUUGCAUUUUUGUGCUCUCUUGGUGUUUCCAGGAAAGCUUAACGAAUGGAGCAACAAACAAGUCCUGGAGGACCUGGACAAUUUGGUACCGUGGGCUUGUUUAUGAGUUACUCACAUAUGGUUGUGGAUCUUAUUGUGAGCUUCUCGGCACUUCUUAUACUUCAAGUAUCAACUAUCAAGCCAUAUUUCUGAGAUUUGAGCAAAUUAUCUCUGGGUAGGUAAAACUGGUAUCAGUUGUGGUAGUCUAAAAUAUUCUUUUGUUCUUUGUGUGUCAGUCUCUUGGUUGAUAAUUUUCAUGGAGAGAACUGAGAGAUCAAGUAUUUGUGAGCUUUGGGUGUAAUUGGGGCUCUGUUGAGAAUGGUUGUGAGAGAGUACGAGAUUACCUAACAAAGAACAUUUUAUUUUGACAUUAGUGGACUAUUGCCGUGGACAAAUUGGGGUGAACCACGUUAAAACUUUACCUCUUUGUUGAUUGUGGUGUUCUUUAUGAUUCUAGUUUUUCUCUUAAUAAAAUAAUGGGUGCUAUCUUGGGCUAGGAAUAUAAUUGCUGAAAUUCCGAGCAUGUCAUAAAGGGAUACAUGUAUAUAACUAAUCUUCCCUCUAUUUGAUUUCACAUUUGCCUUUUCUUUUAACAGUUUCUGCUGUUGACCAUAUAUAAGGGCAAGUGAAAUAAAUCAGAACUGAUAAAGUGAAAUCUUUCUGAAUCUGGUUCUAAUCAUCAUCAAGUUUGCUUGCUCCUCAUUUUGAAUUUUGUACAUUGUAUCUAACAAUCUGCAUGGUUUGUUCUUUGAAGCCAAUAUAUGCUUAAAAUUGAUAUCCGAAUUGCUCUAGCCUUUCACUCGGAUGCAAUGUUGGUUUCUUUGAAGACCAGUUGCUGCAGGGGGUAAAGAUGCAGUAAAUGAAAAGGGUAGAACAACAAUCAGGUUAGACAGAUAUUAAAAUUUUAGAUCCUUAAGGAGCAUGAAAACUGAUGCACAGUUUUAGAUUCAAUGAGCUGUGAUACAUUAGAAGCUGCAUUUUUGGACUUGGAGCAACUAGAAAACCUGGUUAAAUGGAUGAAGGGUUUCUUAGAGAUUGGAAUGCCUACGAAAAGUGCCUUGUUACAUGAGAUAUGCUACAUGUUGUUAUACCAUUAAAAAGACAUAAUGGCAUUUAGACUGCUUCUAAUUCUUGUGACUGUAUUCUCUGUCAACACUUCGUGGCUUUGUUCUUUGUUGAAGUUGACUAUAUUUUUCGUCAUUGGUAUGCUGAAACGUGGUUACAAGUUUGUCCCUUUCUGGAUAUACCAAAUGUUUUGUGAAUGAUAUCCUUUUCUUUUGUGAAUAAUCUUUCUGACUUGGAUUUGCAUGUCUUUCUUUUACUACUAAGAUAAAGUAUAGAAUGAAGGAUAAGCUAGGCUACUAGAGGUACAGAUCAGGGGACAUUUUGUUUCAGCAUACAUUUCUACUUGAUGUAGAACACUCAAGAUAUGAUGGAUACAAUGCUCUAAUUACCAACUCUUUCUACCAUAGAAAUGCACAUAAUGGUUGUGUUAUAUGAAAAACUGAAGCCUAUAGGUGAAUAGUCUGUACCAUCCUCGGCCCUCUCAAACAUUAGCUGCAAUUAAUUCUAAUUAGCUUGCGAGCAUACGUACUUCAAUGACUGCUUAGAUGUCUUCAGUAUCUGGUUCUCGUGAGGUUACUUCAAUAGAAGGUGCGUUCAUAGCUUCCUCACAUUUUGGUUCUUAUAGCAAUGCACUUUUGAGCUUGCGCCUUUCCGUCCAUAUUCUCUUAUUAGUCUUUACUUUUUAUGGAGUGUCUCUAUCACUAUCAGGCUAGCAUGAUCAGUAAAACUUUGGGCUUCACUUAACAGUCACACGCUAUAACAAAGAAAAGAAAUAGACAAAAAGUGAGAUUUCGGAAUAGCCAGGAGCAGAGGUUUGAAAUCACCUUUCUUUGGACAUUGUUUUUCAUAUUGGUCGGUGUUCAUAAAAGAUAUUGAAAUAGACAAGGCUAAGUGGAUCCUACUCUGGACGGCAGAAGGAUUGCUUCACAAAAGUAAUCAAGAGAUGGAAGAUACAGGCAGUGGUUAUUCUGAUAGUGUAUUAGAAAACUCCUUUCUGCAAAGUUUGAGCUUCCGAGAAGGCGAGAACAGAUAUUGGGAGCUUUGCAUGGCUUACAUUCAUAUGGGGCAGAGAUUGAGGAGUUGUCUACUUCAAUUGGCAAGUUGAACGAUCGAAAUUUCAAGACAAAAAUCACAGCUCUCGCAAGUCUUUUUGGCAAGCUCUAUAAGCCGCAGACAUUGAGAAUGUGGGUACAGUACUAAAAAUCUAAAGAAGUUCCCAAUGGAAGUGUGAAGAUAACUUGUGACAUCUUCAGUUUUGAUGAUAAGGAAAUGUAGUGAAAGUUCCAGCUGCAGUAUUGGUGCAACUGACUCAUCUCCAAACAUGACGUCAGAGCAUCUCUAAUAGAUAUUUCUUUUGGCUUGUG